CGCAGAAUUUCAUUUGUCUGUCUUCAAAUAUUUAUAUAUUUACAUGCAAAACUCUCUCUUUUGGCGACUUGUUCAACUCUUUGUACGUAUUUCCUGGUCAGAGUCAGCGAUAUUAAGUCCUCUUCUUCCCCAGUAAAUUGUUCAGUGCAUUCAGACUCCUCAGUUUUGCCAUUUAUCUGUUUCUUCUUGCUGAUCUGACCAUAUAAAUGUUGGUGUUUCAAAUACUGGGCUGUGAUUAGUUUGAGGUUUGAGAAGCCCAGAGAUAAAGAGAGUUGAAAUAUAUGUAAAGGGGUCAUUGUGAAUGCACUUGGAGCUAUUAUUAAAAAUUCUAAAAUUGCGAUCGGCUUACUCCUGAUUCAGAAAAUGGGAUCAUUCUCAACGGUGUAAUUCCACAAUUUUCAUCAAAAUUCCACUUCUCAAGUAAGUAAUGACUUGUCCUGACUUGUUAUUGAAGAUAUUAAAAAUGUUUGAAGUCUUGUCGGCUUAUAUAAUUGCAGCCUGGUUGGCUUAUAUGAUUGCUUAUUGUACGAUGAACAAUUGUACAGGCGCACGUAGUAACUAUAUUUGAAACUAUAAUUGUGAGAUGAUUGUAAUAUUGUGUAAUUGUUUUUUAGGUUAAUCAUUGGAUAUUAGAUAUUCACUCCUAUACUAUGCCUCCUAAACAUGAGUCUGGUGCUCAAAAGAGGAAAAGGACAUUAGAUUUGAUUGAUUUUUUUCCUCGAAUAGUAUUUAACUAAUUGUUUGAAAUUUUUGGUUUGAUGGUUUAUAAUAUAAAUCGUUUUCAUGAUAUAUUUCGUUGUUAUUUUAAUGUUAGUUUUUUAAGUUAACAAUGAGUCACAUAAUACACCUUUGAAUUUUGUCGCUGGGGGGCCUACUUUUCAUCGUUCGUCUUAGGGCCCAUCAGACAAAGGAUCGGCUCUGCCUAAGACUUCGACACCCCCGCUCCCCCCUCAAGUUGGUGCAUAUAUGUCAAUCAUGCCCAACUUGCUAAUAAGAUACUCAAAGUUAGGUUGAAAUAAUCCUUUGGUGAGGACAUUGCUGUCUGUUGUGUUGUUGGAAUAUAUGGCAUACAAAUAGCUCCAUCAUUAGUCUUUUCUUUAAUUAAGUGUCCGUCAACUUCCACAUAUUUGGUUCGAUCAUGUUGCACUGGAUUCUGAGCAAUAAUGAUUGCAGCCUUGUUGUCAUACAACUUCAUUGGCAAGUUGAUAGUUAUCUUUAAUUCUUCAAGAACCCUCUUCAGCCAAAGCAUUUCACAAACUCCAUGAGCCGUAGAUCUAUUCUUUGCGUCAGCACUACUCCUUGCAACGACGUUCUGUUUCUUACUUCGCCAUGUGACUAGCUUGCCCAAUAUAUAUGUGCUAGAUGUUGACUUUCUAUCAAUAACUGGUCAUGCCCAAUCAGCAUAUGUUUGUGCCUUAAUGAUUUGUUGUGUAGUCCCCUGGAAGAGUAGACCUUUGCCUUGUAUGCUCUUCAAAUAUCUAAAGAUUCGAUAGAUCGCCUCAAGGUGUUUCUCAUACAUUGCUGCAUGAACUGACUUACAAAACUUACAGCAAAUGCAAUAUCAGGCUAUGUGUGAUAAAUAUAUCAGCUUUCCUACUAAUCUUUGGUAGUAAGAUGUGUCCAUGAGUUCACCCUCCUUAUCAUUUCCAAGCUUUUGGUUAGAUUCUAUUGAGGUGUUCGCUGGUCUACAACCACUCAUUCCAGUCUCUUUAAGAAGAUUAAGAACAUACUUCUUUUGAGAGACGAUGAUUCCCUUCUUUGACCUUGCAACCUCCAUUCCGAGAAAAUAUCUUAAGGAUCCCUAGUCCUUUAUCUUGAAUUUUGCACAAAGAGAGUGAGAGAGAGAGAGAGAUCUCUUCAAUUGGUUCAUCUCUAACACAUCAUCCCCGGUAAGAAUUAUAUCAUCCAUAUAUAUAAUUAAUCUAGCAAUCUUUCCUUCAGUCGAAUGUUUCACAAACAUAGUAUGAUCUGUUUGUCCUUAUGUGUACCUGAUAUUUAACAAACUCAGUAAACUUCUCAAAUCAAGCUCUUGGUGACUAUUUUAGUUCGUACAACAAUUGUUUCAGCUUAUAUACCUUUGAAACAAACUUUUUCUUAAAACUGGGGGUGCAUCCUUAUACACUUCUUCCUCCAAAUCUCCAUUAAGGAAUGCAUUCAUUACAUCUAAUUGCUGCAAAGGCCAGUUUUGAGAUUGACUACAAGUGAUGGAAGAACUCUAAUAUUAACUUUGCUAUAGGAGCAAAUGUCUCUAAGUUAUCGAUGCCAUAAGUUUGAGUGAGUCCUUUGGCGACCAAUCGAGCCUUAUGUCUUUCAAGUAUUCCAUCUUCUUCCUAGACUCCUCACGUCUGACUUCAGAGAUGACUUCCCAGAUUUUCGGCCUAGGAUUCAGCCUCGUACUUCAUCCAAGCUCCGACUAAGGCCUACAAGAAACAUGUAGACCCGAGAGUUCUCCUCCCUUUUUUGUACUGCCCAUAAUCAUUGGAAUUUUCUUAGUCAUCUUCGUAAUACCGAUCAAAUUCUUGCCAAAGAGUCGCCAUUAAAUUGUAACACAUGGUGACGUCCUGGUUUCCUUGCUUGGAUUGCCAAAGUCGCGUCUUUAAGUCAAAUAUCUUAUAUGAAUUUUCUAGUUCAGAGUAACACUCCCGAACAGUCUCCCAAACAUCCUUUGCUAUAGGAAGAAAAGGACGAGGUUUCUUGAUUGCUGGCUCCAUUGAAUUAAUUAGCUAAGCAAUUACAAGAAAAUUUUCUGACCAUCUUUUCAGGGAUGGAUAAUUUGCUGCAAGUUGCGCAGUUUUCCUGUCAGAGUAAUCUCCCGAACAUCUUCCCAUACAUCCUUGGCUGUAGGAGUAAAAGAAUGAGGUUUUGUUGAUUGAAUUUUCUGACCUCCAUCUUCCCAGGGAUGGAUCAUUUGCUGCAGGUUGUGCAGCUUUCCAUGUUAGAUGCCCUAAUUUCUCUACCAUCAAUUGCCAAUUUCACGGACUGUGCCCAUUAGAGAUUUUUUUUUCCUGUUGAGUUUAUGAACCUUGAGUUGCAGGUUGGAAUUCUGGGAGAAGGCAUUGACAAAUGUUGAGGAAGCUCCUAGUUGAACAGGUUGAACGCUGUCAGAUGUAUCUAUAGAAGUGCUCGAGGGGUUUCGGGUCGCUCUUGUCAUCGCUGUCUUUACCAUCAAAACAGAGGAUCGGGAAUACAUGGCUCUAAUACCAUGUAGGUUUAUGGAGAGGAAAAUAUUCUUAUUCUCCCUUAUGAAAAUAAUAAUCGAUUCAAAUAUUUAUAGCCCAAAUUUGUCAAUGAAUAAUAACCAACUGGGAUACAAAUCAGGGAUUUAAAAAAUCAUAAAAAGGGGAAACUUCUUAAUUUCCUAACAAAUCAUAUAAAUCAACAAAUUUAGAUUUUAUUGGAAUAAAACAACCUAAGUCUAGCUGGCACCUAAGACUUAUUUUUUACAUUUUACACUAUGAAAAAGAAAUUUUUAUGUAAUCAGAUAGACUUUGGGUGUCUUCAAAUCUUGAUUGCAUUUUACAUAUUAUGAUGUCGUUUCAAAACAUUAUUCUAAGGGCACCAUACUAACUGUUUGACCCAUCGGUUAGUAGAGUGCAGAUGCCAGGAAGUCCAAGACCAAUUCAGUAAUGGUUAGUUGUUUAAUGGUAACUGGUGUAAUAUAGCAUAAGAAUUGUAAAAUGAGUAUGGAAACAUUUGGUAACUAAAAAGCUAACUAUUCAUGCUUAUUAGACCUAUCCAUAUGAACACAGCUUAAUUGAAUGGGCUCAUGAUUGAAUUGGAGAAGGCUGGGGAUUGUUUCUUUAUAAGAUAAGAGAUGUUUCUAGGUAAUAAGAUAUAGUUUACGGCCUGAAUUGCUCGGAAUAUUUAGCUAGUCACUGAUUUGAGCACUAUUACUGAAUAAUAUUAGCUGUAUAAUUGACAGAUUUAUAAGAAUCAAAUUAGCUAAUUACCUUAAUUAGAUAGAUUGUAUUUGUACAUAUCUACAUGUGUUUCCUUUUGAAUGAGAUAUAAGAAAAUAUUCUUCAAUUCCUCUGAAUUACAUGGUAUCAGAGUGGAAAUUUCGUUCUGGUGAUUAGCUCUAGCGUCUCUGGUAUGUGUGAACGACGCGACUUCCUACGUCUCUUGGAAGAGUGAUGUGGCUGCCUUUUUCAGCGUCUGUGUGUAAAAAACCAAUUAUGGAAAGACACAAAGAAUAUUAUAAUUGAUAGGAUUGUUAUAGGAUUAUUAGUUAGGUGAUUUAUUUCCUUAUUUAACAAAUUGGAGUCUUCCUUUUUUAUUCCAUACUUUGUCAUAUAAAUAGGUCGUAUUGGAUGUGUAAUAUUCAUCGAAAAUAAAAGAAUUUUUAUUCUUCAUGGUAUCAGAGCGUAGGUUGUCCUAACUUAGCACACCAAUGGCUGAAUUUCGUGUCAACAGCCAAGAAUCAAUGACCUUUGAAACUUCUCCUUCUGAAGCAGAGGCCAACCCUUCUAUUGGAUCCAAUAAUCUCGAAAAUUCCUCAUUCCAACUCAUAGUAGAAAAACUGAAUGGGAGAAAUUUUCGAGAAUGGGCCCAAUCUAUAAAAUUGGUCAUUGACGGGAAAGGGAAAUUGGGCUAUCUUACCGGUGAUACAAAAAGACCGAUCGAUACUGUGAGUCUGCAGAAGUAGAAAUCCGAGAAUUCAAUGGUGAUAGCGUGGCCCAUAAAUUCCAUGAAGCCUUCUAUAGGGAAGACUUACCUGUUCCUUCCAACAGCCAAAGACGUGUGGGAUGCCGUGAAGGAAACAUACUCUGACGCUGAGGAGGCAUCACAGAUUUCGAACUUAAAACCCGUUUGUGGCAAACUAAGCAACGGUCGAGAGAUGUUACUGAAUACUACAUGGAAAUGGUAUCCCUAUGGUAGGAACUUGACCUUAGCUUGGAGGAAGAAUGGGAGUGUUCACAUGACAGUGCACGGUACAAGAAAAAAGUCGAGAACGAAAGAGUGUUUGAGUUCCUAGUUGGGCUGAAUCAAGAACUCGACGAUGUCAGAGGGAGGGUUCUAGGCCGGUGACCACUACCUUCCACUCGCGAGGUGUUCGCAGAGGUCCGGCAAGAAGAAUCACGGUGGCAGGUCAUGCUGAAGGCAAUUUUUGGAUUGAAUAAUGAAGGAUCGACCUUGAAAUCACAGCUUGGGCCAUCAUAUUUUAAAGAAAAUGGGGCGGCUAAUCUGGGCCCGAGAACAGGAGGAUUAAAUAGAACUGGGCCAGCAUUCUUUGGGCUUGGAAAUGAAAUAAAAGGUGGGCCAGAAAGUGAAACAAAUUUUGGACCAGCAAUUAUAAAUGAACAAGGAGCAUUGGGCUUGUCAUCUAAAGGGAUAGCCGGGCGACCAACCAAAAACAGCAGCGAGGACGGUCGUGGUGUGAACAUUGUCGCAAAUCGGAGCACAAAGAAGACACUUGUUGGGAUAUUCACGAGAAACCAGUGGACUGAAAACCAAAGCAAAACACAAAGGGCCGAGGAUACCAAGCCGAGACAAACAUUAAUCCCACUCUAAGCGGGACAUUUAAUUCAGAACAACUGGAACAACUCUACCAAAUUUUUUUCAGUCUCCAGACAUCCAGUCAAUCGUCCUCAAAAGGUUCAUCUAGUUCUUUAGCUCACAAAUGUAACUUUUUGAAAGUCUUAAAUACUUCACGACACAAAACCCCUUGGAUUGUAGGAAAAGGGAGUAUUAAAAUCUCUUAAUCUUUAACACUAGUAUCAGUCCUUCAUGUCCCAAAUUUGUCCUAUAACUUAUUAUCUGUUAGUCAACUUACAAAAAAUUCCAAUUGCUCAGCUAAAUUUUUCCCAUCAUAUUGUGUCUUUUAGGACCUUUCAUCGGGGAAGAUGAUUGACAAUGCUAAAGAGUGUGAAGGACUUUACUACUUCGAAGAAGCUGAUAUGAGUAAGCUAGGUCAAUUUUCAAGUUGUAAUUCAACGUCUGUUUCUAGGGAUAGUGAAAUUCUGUUAUGGCACUAUAGAAUGGGUCAUCCUAGUCUACAAUACUUGAAGCGUGUACUUUCUUCUCUUUUCUUGAAUAAAACAUCAUUUGAGCUUCAAUGUGAAAUUUGUGAAUUUGCAAAGAAUCAACGAACAAAUUUUCCAAAUUCCACAUACAAACCAUCUAAGCCAUUUGCCAUAAUUCACAGUGACUUAUGGGGACCUUCUCGUGAUCCCAAUCGUACCCACACAAAAUGGUUUGUCACAUUCAUCGAUGACCACACUCGAUUAUGUUGGGUUUAUCUACUAAAAUAAAAAUCUGAUGUUCGCACAGUAUUCAUAAAUUUCCACUCUAUGAUUCAAACACAACUUCAAAUUCUAUGUAUUGACAAUGGCACAGAAUAUUUCAAUACCACUUUGCAAGACUACCUUAAAAGACACGGAAUAGUCCAUCA